rnacentral:rRNA from 1 species
GACGAACGCUGGCGGCGUGCUUAACACAUGCAAGUCGAACGGAAAGGCCCUGCUUUUGUGGGGUGCUCGAGUGGCGAACGGGUGAGUAACACGUGAGUAACCUGCCCUUGACUUUGGGAUAACUUCAGGAAACUGGGGCUAAUACCGGAUAGGAGCUCCUGCUGCAUGGUGGGGGUUGGAAAGUUUCGGCGGUUGGGGAUGGACUCGCGGCUUAUCAGCUUGUUGGUGGGGUAGUGGCUUACCAAGGCUUUGACGGGUAUCCGGCCUGAGAGGGUGACCGGCCACAUUGGGACUGAGAUACGGCCCAGACUCCUACGGGAGGCAGCAGUGGGAAAUAUUGCACAAUGGGCGGAAGCCUGAUGCAGCAACGCCGCGUGCGGGAUGACGGCCUUCGGGUUGUAAACCGCUUUCGCCUGUGACGAAGCGUGAGUGACGGUAAUGGGUAAAGAAGCACCGGCUAACUACGUG